AUUGAACGCUGGCGGCAGGCCUAACACAUGCAAGUCGAACGAGUGGCGGACGGGUGAGUAAUGUCUGGGAAACUGCCCGAUGGAGGGGGAUAACUACUGGAAACGGUAGCUAAUACCGCAUACUAUCGGAGGUGCCCAGAUGGGAGUAGCUAGGAGGUGGGGUAACGGCUACCCUAGGCGACGAGCUCUAGCUGGUCUGAGAGGAUGAACAGCCACACUGGAACGGGGAGUCGGUCCAGACUACUGCGGGAGGCAGCAGUGGGGAAUAUUGCACAAUGGGCGCAAGCCUGAUGCAGCCGUGCCGCGUGUAUGAAGAAGGCCGUCGGGUUGUAAAGUACUUUCAGCGGGUAGGCGUUACCCGCAGAAGAAGCACCGGCUAACUCCGUGCCAGCAGCCGCGGUAAUUC
rnacentral:rRNA from 1 species